GGGCCUGUGGCUCAGCCAGGAAGAGCGGCUGGCUCUUAACCAGUAGGUCCGGGGUUCAAAUCCCCGCAGGCCCG
rnacentral:tRNA from 1 species